rnacentral:rRNA from 1 species
AAAUCGCAUAGGCUAAUACCCUGUGUGGAUGACGGUACCGGAAUAAGAAGCACCGGCUAACUACGUGCCAGCAGCCGCGGUAAUACGUAGGGUGCGAGCGUUAAUCGGAAUUACUGGGCGUAAAGCGUGCGCAGGCGGUUUAGUAAGACAGGCGUGAAAUCCCCGGGCUCAACCUGGGAACUGCGCUUGUGACUGCUAAGCUAGAGUACGGCAGAGGGGGGUGGAAUUCCACGUGUAGCAGUGAAAUGCGUAGAGAUGUGGAGGAACACCGAUGGCGAAGGCAGCCCCCUGGGCCGAUACUGACGCUCAUGCACGAAAGCGUGGGUAGCAAACAGGAUUAGAUACCCUGGUAGUCCACGCCCUAAACGAUGUCAACUAGGUGUUGGGAGGGUAAAACCUUUUAGUACCGGAGCUAACGCGUGAAGUUGACCGCCUGGGGAGUACGGCCGCAAGGUUAAAAACUCAAAG